rfam:Arabidopsis thaliana chromosome 5, complete sequence.
AUACCUUUCUCGGCCUUUUGGCUAAGAUCAAGUGUAGUAUCUGUUCUUAUCAGUUUAAUAUCUGAUAUGUGGACCAUCGGUUCACACGAUAUUAACUCAAUUUAUUGAGGGAGUGAGCCAUCAAAAUAGCUUGCUAUUUGUGCUCACACUAUUGCAAGGGAUUGGCGUAUCCCACCAAUCACAGUGUAAAGACUUUU